rnacentral:rRNA from 1 species
GACGAACGCUGGCGGCGCGCCUAACACAUGCAAGUCGAGCGAUGAACAUUCACUGAUCCCUUCGGGGUGAUUUGAGUCGGAUUAGCGGCGAACGGGUGAGUAACGCGUGAGGAACCUGCCUCUCACAACGGGAUAGCCUCGGGAAACCGGGAUUAAUACCGUAUGACACCAUUUUCUGGCAUCUUAAAAUGGUUAAAGUGCUAGCGGUGAGAGAUGGCCUCGCGUCUGAUUAGUUAGUUGGUGGGGUAACGGCCUACCAAGACGACGAUCAGUAACCGGCCUGAGAGGGUGAACGGUCACAUUGGAACUGAGACACGGUCCAAACUCCUACGGAGGCAGCAGUGGGGAAUCUUGCACAAUGGGGGAAACCCUGAUGCAGCGACGCCGCGUGAGCGAUGAAGGUUUUCGAAUCGUAAAGCUCUGUCCUAUGGGAAGAUAAUGACGGUACCAUAGGAGGAAG